UCCAAAAGAGAAAAGUUGUCUAUCAUCAAAUACAGUCUCUCUGGUUAGUUAAAAUGGGCUUUCGGAAUUGUGGAAAGAGUGUGUAUUCACUUGGAGGAAUACAGACUCCCCCAACAGUAGCCCAUAACUGGGGUCAGUGCAACAUGCCACACAGUAUUUGUAAUUACAGUUCUUUCAUCAUCUUCUAAAUGUUGAAACAUUUAGAUGUUUCACUACAGGUAUCUGUACUAACAAACAUACCUGUUUUAGUAUAUGUGGGUACACUAUAUAUGUCCACAUGAAUGUUUUAAGUCUGAUGCAUUAUAAUGCCAUAAAAAAAGUCUGUAAAAACUUUUUUUUUCUUUAGAUGGCAAAAGCACUGAUGGAAGCCUUCCCUCUGAUGCCAGAUGUAGAUUUUGACACAACAAAAAAGGCAAUGAAAAGUGAAAGAAGAACUCUCGCUCUUCAAAUCCUUGAUGCAUCAGUAUUUGAUGACCACUGUUGGUGUGCGAUGUGCGCUGCAUACAAAGCCCCGGGGUCUGGCCCUGGAAUGACAGACUGGAUCCAGUGUGACAACUGUGACCGAUGGUACCAUGCCCUGUGCAUAAAUAUGAAGAGCACAGAAUUUCAAAAGAAAAAAACAGGCAGUUGGAAAUGUGUAUUGUGUAGUUAAUCUGAAAACUAGAAACUGUGUUCAUUAUUGUUCGAAAUACGUUUUGAAAAUAUCUGUGGAAAAUGAAAAUGUAAUAUGUUUGUGUGGCAUUGAUGCUAUGUGUGAUGUAUAAAGUGUACUGGAAUCAUU